UGGAGAUUAAUCGCAACUGUUCGUUCGAAAUAACCCCCACUCUCUCUUGAUCUCACCUCACUUUCACUCAGUCUCUUUCUCGACUCCUCUCGUCCGCCCAAACCCAACCAAAACUUGACCACUCCUCCAGUCUUCCUCCCCUAACUCAAUCGCCUGAAUCCACCCACACCACCAAUCCAUAGUCACGGUCACACACCACAUCCACUGAACAUGACCACAUCUCUGAUUCUCCCCCUCGAAAGUUGAAAUUGGAGGUCUCUCGGUCAUGAUCUCGGUCUCAGUCUCGAAGCUUCUCAGGCCUCACUCCUUAUUGCACAAGAGUACAAGAAGAUUGGUAGGGCAAAAAGAGUACUUCGCCAAGAUGCUCCCCGCUUACAUUCAAUCAUCAUUCUCCAAAUCUACUUCCAGAAAAGGAACAAGCCAAAGUGGCUCCUUCUCCACCCAAGUAUGAAGACCUCCAUUAUGAAGGCCAAAUUUUGCUAAUUCAUGAGUCACCUUGUUUCCUUCACGUCGUUGCCAUUUGCAUGAAAAAUAAGAGAAACCUCUUCUUCAAAA